UACGGAGGGUGCAAGCGUUAAUCGGAAUUACUGGGCGUAAAGCGCGCGUAGGCGGUUACGUAAGUCGGAUGUGAAAGCCCCGGGCUUAACCUGGGAAUUGCAUUCGAUACUGCGUGACUAGAGUCUGGUAGAGGGUAGCGGAAUUCCAGGUGUAGCGGUGAAAUGCGUAGAUAUCUGGAGGAACAUCAGUGGCGAAGGCGGCUACCUGGACCAAGACUGACGCUGAGGUGCGAAAGCGUGGGGAGCAAACAGG
rnacentral:rRNA from 1 species